AGUUGCCGCUAGGCGAAAGUGGGGACCGCCACACAGUUGGCUGCGGAUUAAAGGAAAAUCAAUGUGACGUUAAGCAAGACAUUUAUUGUGCCCACAGCUUCACCAUUCUGGUCUCUAUGAUUCCCUGCGAAGAUUGCUGUUAUCCCCCAGAGACACAGCUGAGCUGUCUCUCUAAAGGGCCUGUGUUCUACUCCUGAAUCUGGUUUCCCCUAAGCUUUUAUCUCACCCUGGUGACAGCUCAGAAACACACAAACUCUGUGUUAAGAAAACUAAGAAGUCAUUCAUCUGCACAUUUCCCGAAAUCCCCCAGAAGCCCGUAUUAGACUGAAUGGUGUCCUUAUUGCAAACUCUCCACUUUAGCCAAGGUGCAAAGUCCUCCCAGUCCCCCAGGAGCUUCCCUUCUCUGAGCGGUACUUAAGUUUUCUGUAAAACCACUCAGUUCAACAAAUGAGCUUCUCAAUCUUAGUUUCUGCUUGUUGACUUUAAAGUUAAUCUAUAAUAAACACACUGCAGUCCUCUUCCCUGACUCAUUGUCCACUUUGUCCAUUUGUGUCCUCAUACCAGAUUGUCUCAAUUCUCUUAACUGGUGAGAUAUUAUGAACUCAAAGCAUUUUGCACAAUGAUAUUCCAACAUGCUGCAUGCAACAAGCAGACAAUAAGUAACUAGUGAGGGAAAUAUUCCCUCAUACUCAAGAGAACCCUUUAUACAUUUUUAAAUAUUUUAGGGCCAGGCUUAUGCCUGUAAUCCCAAGUACUCGGGAGGCUGAGAUGGGAGGAUCACAGGAGCCCAGGAGUUCAAGGCUGCAGUGAGCUAUGAUGAUGACAGUGCACUUCAGUCUGGGUGACAGAGUAAGACUGUCUCUAAAAGUAAAAUAUCUUAAUACUGUACCUGACAUCUGACUAGAUGUACCCAGCAACCACUAUGUGCCAUAAUCUCUGGAUAAAUUCUAUGAACAUUCACUUAGAAAUAGCUGCAAGUCCCUGAAGACAGUAUGACAAAUACUGAGGCCCACAGUUUUUGGGUGAUCAGUUGCAUAAAAUGCUAAAAUAGAUGGUUCCUGUUUUGAAUGUCACUUUCAAACAUAGAAAAAAAAGGAAUUCUGCUGAAAAAUCAUGAAUGGAAAAAAAUGUUCAUAUUUGUUGAAGCUGGAUCAUGCAUAGAGUUUAUUACUAUUUGUGUUUCCACAAUAGGCUGGAUGUGGUGGCUCACGCCUGUAAUCCCAGCACUUUUGGAGGCCAAGGUGAGCAGAUCACCUGAGGUCAGGAGUUUGAGACCAGCCUGACCAACAUGGAGAAACCCCAUCUCUACUAAAAAUACAAAAUUAGCCGGGUGUGGUGGCAAAUGUUUGUAAUCCUAGCUACUCGGGAGGCUGAGGCAGGAGAAUUGCUUGAACCCAGGAGGCGGGGAGGCUGAGGCAGGAGAAUUGCUUGAACCCAGGAGGCGGAGCUUGCAGUGAGCAGACAUUGUGCGCCAUUGCAUUCCAGCCUGGGCAACAAGAAUGAAACUCCGCCUCAAAAAAAAAAAAAUCCACCAUCAAGUUAUUAAAAACAUAUAAAUAUAUGGGAGAAUUCCAAAAUCACCCCUUCCCAUGACCCAUAUGGAGGGACCUACAAACAUGAAAGGAUAUUACCAGUGAUUAGGUUACUUUACCUGGCAGUUAACUUGAAGGGAGAUUACCCUCAUUGGGCCUAACCUAAUCAGGUGAGUCCUUAAAAGAGUUGGGGCUCUACCUGGAGGAGACUGGAAGUGUGAGAGGGAUUUCACAUGAGGGAGUUUUUCUGUUUCUGGCUUUGGCGAUGGAGGGGACCCCAUGGCAAGGAAUGCUGGCAUCCUCUGAGCACUGAGAGUGGCUCAGCCAACAAAGAAAUAGGGACCUCUGUCCUACAACUGAAAAUAACUGAAUUCCACCACAACCCUGAAAGCCUGGAAGAGGACGCCAAGCCCCCAGAUAAAAUGAGAAGACAGCCUGGUCGACACCCUAAUUCCAGCAUUGUGAGAAGCUAAGCACAGUCCAGGUAGGCAUGCACACCUGCCUCGCUUUGACCUGCAGAACUGUGAAAUAAAUGAGUGUUGUUUUAAGCUGCUAAACAUAUGGUAAUCUGUUGUACAGUGAGUGAAAACGAAUAAUAUAUAAUACACAGAGCAUGAAGACAAAAUAAAUCUAAACAAAUGCCCUGUUUAUUUAUAUUUUAUUAAUAAAGACAACAGAAGAAGGAUGAGGUUUCAAUAUUUUAUUCAAGUUUUUUAAGUGUUGUUAAUUACAGCAUUUGAAGGGGAGGAUCUAAUUCCAACAAAAUGGAAGACUCUAAAAUGUACCCAUUAAACUGCUAAAAAACAAAUUGAGUGGUGAGAAUACAACAGAAGUCCAAUUUAGAUUCUGAGUGUUGUCACCAUGUGAUUACAAUCACACAGACACUUCCAAGCUUAUAGCUGGAGCUCCUGGAAGCUAUUUCAUACUCUGGUGCAAGGGCCAAAAAAAAACACAACACAAGAAGGAAUAAGUCCUGAAUUAUUGGCUUCAUCACAUCCACCUUCUCCACCCCAAAAUGGCACAAAAGAAACAGUUACCACACCCUGCAGACCUUUUGGUGUAAAAGAGAUGAUGAUGAACUGGGGUGGGAACAGGUCAUGAAGAUCUGUCUAAAAAAGUCCCAUUCAGGUGAGUUUGUACACACCAUCAAGCAGCGAGCCUCUCAUCAAUUAGGGUUAGGGAACCAAGGUUCGAUUCUCAGGAAAUCACAAUUUCAUUCAUUUACUCAAUAUGAAUUUACAAAGUGCCUACAUAUUAUCCGCUUCCACUUGCAGCCAUUUCUAGAUAAAAAAGAAACCUGGCAUCUCAAAGGGGCCACCAAGUUCUCCCCGAGUCUACCACUGAAAGGACCUUUUUUGGAAAUAGGUUUCUUCUGUACCUCUGGAAGGGUAACAUCUUAAAGCUGAAUCAACUUUAACCUGGAGGGCUAACAUAUUUAGCAAUACUUGCAUCCCAGACAUACAACAUUAAAAGAUACACUAAAUUCUGAAGGUAGCUAUGCUGCAAAAUAGUUUAAAAUUAAACAAUUGUACAGUAUUCAUUUAUGCUUGAAAUUCCAGUCCUAGACCAAGCUUGUGGCCACCAGCAUUGACGUUCUUGCCAUCCAGAAGAGCUGACAGUGUCAGUUUAAUACCUGGCUUUAGAGUCUGAGUGUAUCCUAAACCUAUCAGGCUGGAGUUGUUCACUUUAGCCUAAUCAAGGAAAUGACAAAACAGAGAAAACAUUAAGUAUAAUACUUUGCACUUCCAUCUCCAAAAUUAGAGCUUUUUAGUCAACCAACCUUGGACUUUAGAAUCAAAAUUUUUCAUGACCACCUUGUUCAUGAGAUUCAUUAAAUUCAAUACAAAAUACAUCAAUUUUAGGUGCAUACCUUUCUGUUCAAAGGGUGUGCUGAGAUCUGACACCCCUCAUAAGAACAAAGCAGAGAGAAGGAAGGCCUCUUAGGGGCCAGUGUCCUUUUGCUCAUAUAAAUAAUGAGGCUCCUUUUCUCUUGUUUUUAAGUGCUUGCUGUUAAGGGAGCCAAAUUCGGUUCUAGUUUAGGAGACUUAAAAAGGGCUGUCCAUAAAUUACACAAACCAGUACAGACACCAUUCUGCAACAUGAGAUUCCCUCAUUUCACCCCAAAGAGAUACAGCCGCCAGUGCCCUGUGACAACAGAAAUGAGCCCAAUAGGAUUUACUGCAAAAACUGUGUAGUAGUUCGAGGGCCUGUGAGCAAUGCCAGAGACUCUGCAAGAUGCCAACUGACUAUUGAUUUCUUAAUAUGCAAUGCAGGAGCUGAAAAGGAGAAUGAAAAGUGAGGCGGGGCGGGGGGAAUUAUCAAUUAGAACCCUAGAUUUCAGAGUGCCCCUUUUAACAGUCCGCAUGAUAGAACAGGAACUGGUAUUAAUGGAAGAGGCUUAACAGUAAGCCAGUCUGGUUCAAAUCCAGCUCCCAGCACUUUCCUGCUGUGUACCUUUGAGCAAGUUACUCACCUAAGUUUCUAGUUCCUCAUUUGUAAAAACAGAGAUGAUUGGCCAGGGGCCAUGGCUCAUGCCUGUAAUUCCAGCAUUUUGGGAGGCCGAGGCAGGCAGAUCACCUGAGGUCAGGAGUUCGAGACCAGCCUGACCAACAUGGUGAAACCCCGUCUAUACUAAAAACACAAAAAUUAUCCAGGUGUGGUGGUGGGUGCCUGUGUUCCCAGCUACAUGGGAGGGUGAGGCAGUAGAAUCACUUGAACCUGGGGGACGGAGGUUGCGCAGUGAGCUGAGAUCGUGCCAUUGCACUCCAGCCUGGGCAACAAAGGGAGACUCCGUCUCAAAAAAAAAAACAAACAAACAGAGAUGAUUGGCCAGGCAUGGUGGCUCAUGCCUUGUAAUCCCAACAUUUGGGAGGUUGAGGUGGGAGGACAGCUUGAGCCCAGGAGUUUGAGACCAGCCCAGGCAACAGAGUGAGACAUUGUCUCUACUAAAAAUUUUUUUUUAAUUAGCCAGGCAUGCUGGUGUGCCUAUAGUCCCAGCUACUUGGGAGGCUGAGGUGGCAGGAUUACUUGAGCACAGGAGGAUGAGGCUGCAGUGAGCUGCAAUUACACCACUGCAUCCAACCUGGGCCUUGUCUCAAAAAAACAAAAAAUAAAAAAAACCCAGAGAUGAUUAAAAAACCAAAGCACCUAUUUCAAAUGGGAUUAAACACAGUAAUCUACACAAAAGGCUCUGCACAGUGCCUGGUACCCAUAAGAAGUACUAGUAGUAUGAUCACUGUACUCAUUUGGCACUCUUUUCAAAGUGAGAACAUCUCUCACUUUGUUUUUGUUUUUUUGAGACGGAGUCUUUUUUUUUUUUUUGAGAUAGAAUCUCACUCUGUCACCCAGGCUGGAGUGCAGUGACACGAUCUCAGCUCACUGCAACCUCCGCCUCCCCGGUUCAAGCAAUUCUCCUGCCUCAGCCUCUCGAGUAGCUGGGAUUACAGGCACACGCCACCAUGCCCGGCUAAUUUUUGUACUUUUAGUAGACAGGGUUUCACCGUGUUGGCGAGGCUGGUGUCAGACUCCUGACCUCAAGUGAUCUGCCUGCCUUGGCCUCCCAAAGUGCAGGGAUUACAGGCGUGAGUCACGGCGCCCAGCAGCAUCUCUCACUUUGAGUAAGCUGAAGCACAGCACUCCAGCAAACCUGAAGGAUUCCAACAUAAAGAGCAGAUGGGCCUGCCUGUGAGAUGCGUGAUUCCACAGAUACCCACCGAGAAGCAGGCGUCAGGGUCAAUCUGAUACUUGGCUGCUAUUCCGAAGCGCGUGUUACUGUUUCCUGCUGUCCAGGCAAGAUUGACAGCGGUCUCCAACUUCUUGUUCACUUUCUGGUAAAUGGAGCCGCCAAACUCUGUCCCGUCAUUCCUGCAAACAAGCACAGGACAGAUGCUGAGCUUCCCAGGGAGGUGAGCUGCAGCCCAGACAGAUCCACCCAAGUCUCCCAGAAGACAGGGAUGACAGAAAUGGACUGAACCAAUACUGGUAUUAAGGGAAGUCAGAAGUUCACCAAAUUUCACAAAACAGGUACUAAAUUACAGGAAGUCUGAUAAGUAUGGAACAGGCACCUAGCCAGGCACAGUGGCUCACACCUGUAAUCCCAGCACUUUGGGAGGCCGAGAUGGGCAGAUCACUUGAGGUCAGGGGUUUGAGACCAGCCUGGCCAACAUGGUGAAACCCUGUUUCUACUAAAAAUACAAAAAUUGACCGGGCUGGUGCCAUACGCCUGUAAUCCCAGCUACUCAAGAGGCUGAGGCAGGAGAAUCGCUUGAACCUGGGAGGCAGAGGUUGCAGUAAGCCGAGAUCGCGCCACUGCACUCCAGCCUGGGCAACAGAGCAAGACAUUGUCUCAAACAAAAAAAGAAAAAGCCAGGGGAGAGGGGGUACGUGGUGACUCACGCCUGUAAUCCUAGCAUUUUGGGAGGCCGAGGCAGCAGGACUGCUUGAGCCCAGGAUAUAGCUUGGGCAACAGAGCGAGAUCCUGUCUCUAUAAGGAAAAAAAAAAAAAAGAAGCAGCAAGUAGAGCACUGAGAUUCUGAGUGAUUUAUUUUUACUGCUACUGAUGUUAUUACUUUUAUAAACGAUUCUACCAGAAAAAUGGCAUGGAAGUCCGGGUGCAGUGGUUCAUGCCUAUAAUCCCAGCACUUUGGGAGGCCAAGGCGGGCAGAUCAUUUGAGGUCAGGAGUUUGAGACCAGCCUGGCUAACAUGAUGAAACCCUGUCUCUACUAAAAAC
rnacentral:lncRNA from 10 species